UAGGAACCGUGAGAUUAAGCCAUCGCGGCAGGUGCUCACGUUAAGCCCACUGACUUUCAUGUCCCUAUCUACUAUCUAGCGAAACCACAGCCAAGGGAACGGGCUUGGAAUAAUUAGCGGGGAAAGAAGACCCUUUUGAGCUUGACUCUAAUCUGGCAGUGUAAGGAGACAUAAGAGGUGUAGAAUAAGUGGGAGAUAUUAGACUUCGGUUUGGUAUCGACAAUGAAAUACCACUACUCUUAUUGUUUCCUUACUUACUUGAUUAAAUGGAACGUGUAUCAUUUCCUAGCCAUUAUACGGAUAUAAUUAUUAUGUCUUAUGGUAUUGGGUUUUGAUGCAAGCUUCUUGAUCAAAGUAUCACGAGUUUGUUAUAUAAUCGCAAACAAAUUCUUUAAUGAGAGAAUGCAUUUAUGUAUUAUUGAUUUAAAAAUUUGGUAUAACUCCAAUUACUCAGGUAUGAUCCAAUUCAAGGACAUUGCCAGGUAGGGAGUUUGACUGGGGCGGUACAUCUCUCAAAUAAUAACGGAGGUGUCCCAAGGCCAGCUCAGUGCGGACAGAAACCACACAUAGAGCAAAAGGGCAAAUGCUGACUUGAUCUCGGUGUUCAGUACACACAGGGACAGCAAAAGCUCGGCCUAUCGAUCCUUUUGGUUUAAAGAGUUUUUAACAAGAGGUGUCAGAAAAGUUACCAUAGGGAUAACUGGCUUGUGGCGGCCAAGCGUUCAUAGCGACGUCGCUUUUUGAUCCUUCGAUGUCGCUCUUCCUAUCAUUGUGAAGCAAAAUUCACCAGCGUUGGGAUUGUCACCCAUGCCAAGGAAACUUGAGCUGGGUUUAGACCGU
rnacentral:ncRNA from 1 species